UACGGAGGGGGCUAGCGUUGUUCGGAAUUACUGGGCGUAAAGCGCACGUAGGCGGCUUUUGUAAGUUAGAGGUGAAAGCCCGGGGCUCAACUCCGGAAUUGCCUUUAAGACUGCAUCGCUAGAAUUGUGGAGAGGUAAGCGGAAUAUGUCAUGUAGCGGUGAAAAUGCUUAGAUAUGACAUAGAAACACCGAUAGCGAAAGGCAGCUUGCUACACAAUAAAUUUGACGCUGAGGCACGAAAAGCGUGGGGGAUCAAAACAGGGAUUA
rnacentral:rRNA from 1 species